AUUGGGUUUUUUUCUGAAUUUUACAUGUGCAGUUCUAGACCAGGCUCACUUACUACUUGUUUUUGUCAUGAAACUGCACUGCAGUUCCCAGUUUUCUACAUAUGAUGGUAGACUGAACAGAUGCUGUGUUUCAGAUGUGAGCUGCAACACGAGUCUGCGGUGGCGAUAUCUGCAUCCUGGUGAGCCCACAGCCAAGGGCCACACUCUGACAAAAACCAGGCAGGAGCAAUGAAUGAACGAGCAGAAGAAAAGCAAACGUGUGUGUGCGAGUCAAAGCGGCGGCUUAAUGUGCAAGUAUGAGUUGUGUUCAUACGGAGAGUCUAACAGAACAGGAAGGAAGAAGAGAGACGACACAGAAGAAGAGUGAGGAUGCAUUCGCUUGCACAUGGGAAGACCUCGACCCAGAUCAGUAAAAUGAGAUGAAGAAGCUGAUGGAGAAGUUGAAGGGGGUAUUCUACUCCCAGGAGUAGACCACUCCUUCACCAUGGUUGGUUGAGGCCACUGCAGCACUGGUCCAUUGCUCCGCCUCCAGCACUGAUCACAUAGCCCAGGAAAGAAGUUGAAGUUUUAUGGAACGCACAUUUCUCUCCAUUAGCCUACAGUCCAUGAAUGAUCAGUUGGUUCAGCAUCUGCUGGACGUGGGAGAUGUGCUGCUUGAAGGUGUCAGAAAAGACCAGGAUGUCUUCUAUGUAGAUGAUGACACAUCGCUGCAGCAGGUCUCGGAAGACGUUCUUCACGAAAACCUGGAAAACAGAGGGGACACUGCAGAGAGCAAAGACCAGAUACUCAUAAUAUCCAGAGAUGGUAGAAAAGCUGAUCCUCCAUUCAUCUGCUGGAUGAGGUUGUACGUGCUUCUUAGAUCUGCUCCUGACAGUGACCAGAGGGGGAGUAAGAGCUCUGACAUGUAUAUAUGUGUAUAUAUAUAUAUAUAUAUAUAGUUUUUGCUCUCACACACCCCUCUGCAUUUAUCCGGACUUGGGACCGGCACAAGAGAACACUGGAUUGUGUUCCCUUGUGGUUGCAUUACAUGUAUUAAGCAAUUAAUGAAAUAAUUCGUCAUUGAAUUGAUUCAUUCAUUCCCACCACUUUUUACCAUAUUUUUUACAUAAACCCAUUCGUAGAUCAAUCUAAUAUCAUCCAUUCUAACCAUACACCCA